GUCGAGAAUCUUUCACAAUGGGGGCAACCCUGAUGGAGCGACGCCGCGUGGAGGAUAAGGUCUUCGGAUUGUAAACUCCUGUCAUGCGUGAACAAGGUUGCUUGGUUAAUACCUGGGCAAAUUGAUGGUAACGCAAGAGGAAGAGACGGCUAACUCUGUGCCAGCAGCCGCGGUAAUACAGAGGUCUCAAGCGUUGUUCGGAAUCACUGGGCGUAAAGGGUGCGUAGGUGGCGUGGUAAGUCAGAUGUGAAAGCCCGGGGCUCAACCUCGGAACUGCAUCCGAUACUGCCAUGCGAGAGUACUGGAGAGGUGACUAGAAUUCUCGGUGUAGCAGUGAAAUGCGUAGAUAUCGAGAGGAAUACCAAAGGCGUAGGCAGGUCACUGGACAGUUACUGACACUGAGGCACGAAGGCCAGGGGAGCGAACGGGAUUAGAUACCCUUGUAGUCC
rnacentral:rRNA from 1 species